UAAAGUAUCCAUAGGAGGUCCAUUAUGUAUGAAGUUUUCUUCAAGACUAAUCCAAGUUUCUAGGAGACUAAAGAUCCUUUUUUCCAGCCUUACAGUAUGUACAGUGACUGCUUUAUAUGUAAGGAUUUAAAAAUAACAUUAGAUAAUUAGAUAGAAGUUCAGUUUGAUUCAACUACACACUACACAUGAAACCAGUCAGUCAUUGCAAGUUGAUUGCUCAUAUUCUUACAAUUUCUUAAGAAUUUAGAAUUUUCCAUCCAAAAAUGAACAAUUAUUGAUUUUUUCCCCCUAAAAAUUAAGCAUCCAUAGAAUCAUGUACUAUACUUUAUAAUAUGCUUUAAAAUGUUUGUAGGAAAAUCAUAGCUUAGAAAAUACUAUGUAUAGUUAAAUAUAUUUUAUACCAUUUUUCAAAAUUCAGCAAUACUUAUUUUUUGGACAUUCCUGUAAUAUUCUGAUACUAUGGGAGAGGAAUGAGCAUGUACAAUUUCACAAAUAAUUUUUUUUAUGGACCUGACAUAUUAUGAAAAUCUUUUUUGAACAUAACGUAAAUGAUUUUGUAAAAACAAUGUUACAAAUACAAUGCGGUUUAAUUCAUUUCCUCUGUAUUAGUGCUCUGUAGUGUGUGAAAUAUAAUGACAGGUAUGAUCAGGAAGAAGGUUUUUCUGAGAUAUAAGUUUCAGAUAACACAGUAGUCACAUAGAUGUAGAAACAUUUCUCUGAUCAUGUUCAUUUUAUUACCAAUAAUUUAGAAGAGAUAUGUUGUUUCUGCCUACAGUGUUUUGCCCUAAUUAAUGCUCAAACAAAAUAUCAACUCAAUAGGAUGAAACCUGAGAAAACAGAAAUGUCAUUCAGGCACCAGAGACCUUCAAUAAUCUCCACCUUCAAUCUCAAUUCAUCCUUGAUUAUUUAUUGUUAAAAAAUAGUCGAAAGGGAGAAUUUGUGCAUUAAUAUAAAACAAGCUUUGCGUAAUUUAUAGUGUACAGUAUAUGAUGGAUUUUACAGAGGAUAAAGGAAGCUGGAAAGGGGAUGAUAAGAGCAAGAAUAUCCUUUUGUCAGAAAAAAUAUAUAGUUUUUCUCUGAGCUUAACAGUUUGUGUGGGUUGCUUUAUGAGUUAGCGCAGUGAGUAAUCCUCAGAACAGAACACUUUAUUUAAGGUAGUGUUCAUAGAGUUACAUGUGAAAAGUUAUUCCUGACAGCUGUUGUGAAAUUGCAUACACAUUUAUAAUGCUAUAUUUCAGUAUCAGCUGUCAUAAAGACUGCUUUUGUUAUUUGCCGAUGCUACCCGAAUUGUCAGAGAUUUUUGUUUGACAAAAACUUUCUACCUUUUUUCAGGCUAAUUGACUUUAUUUGAUCAUGAUAUCUGAAUUUGUAGCAAGUGUACAUUUGGUAGGUCAGAAACAUGUUACUGUGAUACAGUCUAACAAUAACACUCUAAUUAAGGGCAUGAGAAAAAUAAAUAUUAUUAGGUGUUCAGAGACAUUUUUAUAGAACCAAAUUAACUCACUGCCAUCGUUACAGUGUCUUGUUGCUGCACUUGAAUUGCACUUCAAUUAAAUACAAUAGUGUGAAUUUGGGCUUUUUUCAGUGUCUAAGUUCGGCUCUCCUAACAGCGUUGAUUUUUUUUUUCUUUCCUAAACCAUACAAAGUUUGCAUUACCUUUUUAUUUUGACUUACUAUGUAUAACUAUAGCUGCAGUUGUUCUUUGGGUUUUUCAGUCUAAUUAACACAACAACAUUUAUCUGCAUUGAAUAAUAAAUAAAAUAAUAUGAUAGAAAUAAAUCAAAAAAGUAAAGCACUACAAAAGUACAUUGGUAAAUACAGUACACAACUGUAAUGUGCUGAUGUUGACUUAGCUUUAUUAAGAAUAUUCCAAUUUACUCAAAUAAUUGAUCACCUUCUCUACACUUGACUACAUACAGUACGUUUUCAGUAAGCAGCAUUGCAGAUGGAUCUUCCCUGCUAUUUCGCCUCAUACACAGAACUGAGCACUCGUCUAAUGAAUAUAACUGUAAUCAGCACAAAUAUAGCAAAGCAAUUUCCAGGAAGCAUUUUGAUUAAAUAACACUACAAGAGCAAUGCCACUGCCUACAUCUAAGUAUAACCCAAACAAACAAUCUGGCUCUCAAAAUUCACCUAAGUGUUGCUUACAUAGUUCUCAAAAGUGCACUUAACUUCAAAAGAAUUGGCCUUAUGGAGUUAACCAAGGCUCUCACAUGAAUCUUAAGAAGUAUGAUUCAUUGCUCAAUUAUUUCAUUAGGGAAUGUGUUGAUGUAAUGAUAUCAUUUUGCAGUAAAUACACUCUGGAUGAAAAGUGAGAUCCAACCCUCAUUUAAACCCAUUAUGUAUCAUUCAACAAACCCUAGAAAUAAACUCAGAAAGGCAAGAAUCAAUUGUAAGCAAGGCAUAAAGAGCAAGAUGACUUCAAUCCACAGCACAAGAUUUGUAUUUUUUUUGUAAUCACAGAUUGCAAAAGCAAAACCAGCUGCUGUGAGCUGAAGGAGCACAUCAAAUUUGAUUCUUGUUUUAAAGACCACAUUGCAGGGCCUUAAAAUCCCAGACCAACAGAUGUUUCAGCCAUCAACUAAUGUCAUGAAGAGAUGCCUAAAUAAGAUACACGUUUAGAAGGCUGCAGGAACUGAUGAAAUACAUCACUGUUCCCUCUGCACACCAUCUCAGCCACUCAAAUAUCUCUCACUUAAAUAUCUUGAAAGUGUAAUGCUUAUGAAUGAAUGUUACUAAUGAACUUCUAAGUGUUUAAAACCACCACCUGAAGCUUUUCAGCAAAUUCGGAGUCCUCAGCCUAUACAAAUCCAUAUAUAAUGGAGUGUUGCAAUUCCUUAGUGGCCAGGUCCAGGCUAUUAGGACCUUACUCCACCUUACUCAUGCUGAACAGUGGUACCCCACAAAGCUUUGUACUUAGCCCACUCAUGUUCUCCCUGUUCACCUUGACUGUGCCGUCAGACAUAUCAUAAACAUUAUCAUCAAACAGCUCUAUUAUGCUAAGAUUAAGCCAUGGAUCAUACAGCCUUCAGGGAGGAAAUAGUACUGCUAAUGUUCUGGGAGCAACAUCAGCAAGACUAAGCAAUUAAUCUCAACACCAGAAAGUGGUGUGUUGACCACAGACCUACCUCCAUCAGUGGAAAUACUAUGCAGUCAGAUGGCCACUUUAAGACCUUGAGGGUUCACAUAAAUCAAGACCACGCUUUUCAAGAAAGAUCACAAAAGCAUUUACUUCUUCACAAGCAAGGAAGAAGAGGCACACAUUACAAACUCAAGAAAUGCUGGAAAAAAUAGACAGGUGCCUGAAAUGAUCUAACACAGAAAGUCAUCAUAACAACAAGCUGGACACCUCAAGAGAAAUGAUUCUACACUCCCGAGUACCAGGAAGUCUGCACAACCAUGGCCCAUGGAGUGAAGAGAACAUAAAAAAAAAUUACUCUGGAAAAAUGUCCAAGGUCAUGGGACAAGGUGAUGGUGGAUAGGCUACUUUUGGCACUAUAAGUCCAUUUACUUUAAAGAAUGGAGAAAGCAUUAAGUCUAUUAAAGGUUGUGCUCUUCUAGACAUUCAUAUCACAGCAUACUCGGACCACAUCAAGGUUGUCGUACCCCAAUAAGAGUUAUAUGAUGUACUGUAUGAUGAUGCAAGAUUCAGGUAACAACCAAGUGUAGACAAUGUCUUAGAAAGUUUAGCCUCUAUCUUUAAAACUUGCUGCAUGUCAAAGAACUCAUCUCAUUACUGAAAUCUGGGAGAAGAGUCUCAAUGUGCUCCUGUGUUGACUGACAUGCUGGAGCUUGUCUAAUUUGUGAAUGUAAAGUACACCAUAUGCAAUUUUAAUAAAUUGGAGAGAGAAUGAUGGAUAGAAAAUUGAUUAUUUUAAUAUUCCACACCAUUACUCUAUUUAUAUUCUUCAUUUGGCUUCAGCCAUAACCUGUCUAAACCUGUCUUUAAACGAUCUCUUUGAUAUCAGAGAUAAAGAGAGAUUACCGAAGAGGAGAUUCUCAGUUGCAGUCUGUUUUUAAUUGAACACUCUAUACGGCAGUAGCCUAAUAUGCCACUUUGAUAUUGCAAGUAAAUACACAACAAGAGUAAGUCCUUGUUUGUCAGAAUUCAUUCUUAAAUUAAUACAAACACUUGUACACUUCAUUUCCAUACCUGGACUUCCAUUGCCAUGACAUUGACAUUUGUGACAUACCGUAUCUAAGCUGAUUACCUAGGAAAGUCUAUGGAGGCAUUCUUAUGUUAAACAGAUUCAAGGGUGCAAAUAGUUCACAAUGUUUUGUCUAUUUAUUGGAGAAAAGGGUGCUUUCAAUCAUUUCUGAACCUCUGCCCUUGGAACCCAUUUUUAUUAAGAUGUAAUUAGAUUCCAUUUGAUAUUAUUUACAAGCAUAAUAACCUUGAUGAUUAGUUUCCAUCACUGUAACAAAAAUGUGCCAAUGUGUCUGUGAUUUUCUAUGUUUCAUGCACCCCACAUUAAGGAUAAUUGUUGUAGGUAAACUGUUUAAAUACAGUAAAGUUAUAACAUGUGUACAUGGACUGUGUAUUUAUGAUUAAAAUGUUGUAUUAGUAUACAUUAAAUACUGUAACUAUUUUUGUGGCAGUCUGGGGAAAUCUGCUGGAUGCUGCUGUGGAUGAAGUCUGGCAAACAGCUGAAAAAUUAUAUCUUCCUGCAAAUAUCAUGUUGUAUAAUGAGCCAGUUUAACAAACGUGGUGGAAAAAAAAGUUUUAUUUAAAAAUAUCCAAAACCUUGCUAGCUAGGUGUUAUUUCCUCACAUAGUGAAUGUCACGGUUUGAUGUCUGGAGUUUUAGAUAGUUAUGUACAGUAUAAAUAAUAUCAGCUUGUCAUUAGCUCUUACUGUCAGUCUGUUCGUGAUAAGCGUCAAAGUCAAAUUGUAAUUUUUAAACGAAUUUUUACACACUUUAUCAGCAGCCUUAUGAGACACUUGUUUCUUCGGCAAAGAAUAAUAAUAUCUGACAGCCCAGCUAAUGAUUUGUCUUCUUUUUAUAUCUCCCCAUAUUGUUCUUCUGCAAUUCAGAACCAUAUUCUCUCUUUCCUUUAGAGAAUAUUAAGAGAUGGGACUUGGCAGUCUUUAUAGAAUGCGUAUGAUUGUUUUGUUCUCCAUUUCAUAUCUGUAGGGUUCACAGAUUUAAUACAGCAAGUGUAUGAGUGUAUGCAUUAUUGCUACAGAUAUAAUCGCAUGUUAUUAUGUGCAUGAAGAGUCGAUUACUGAGCUGACUUACUGAACGGUACUUACCUGACUGCAUUGUGCCAAUGGGGUGAAUAUGGUGUGGAGUUGUUUUACAGGGGUUGGGCUUGGCCCCUUAGUUCCAGUGGAAGAAACACUCAAGACAUUUGGGACAAUUUCAUGCUCCCAACUUUGUGGGGACAGUUUGGGCAUGGCCCCUUCCUGUUCCAACAUGACUGUGCACCAGCGCACAGAUCAAAGUCCAUAAAGACAUCUAUGAGCAAGUUUGGUGUGGUGAAACUUGACUGGCCUUCACAGUUGGACAGUCAUGUCUUUAACCCCAUAAAAAACCUUUGGGAUGUGUUGUAAGACCCUGGCAGGUACAGGAUGGAGUUGCAGGAAUAUUCCUAGGCUCCAAUAUCGGUUCUCAGCCAACAAACCCAAUUAAAUACAUAGAUACACCUCAACAAAUUGUUAACCUAUCUGUCAGAAGACAGACAGAAAUAGAUAUUACAAAGAGAAGGAAUAAAUAGGAAAAGAAAGGAGAGACAUAAGGCAAAUAGACAAAAGAAAAUCAAUGUGAAAAUACAAAAGGUUGAAGAGUUGGUUAAAGAGUUGAAAGACUUAAAUAUGAGUUACUAAAAGAAGACAACGAUGGAUCAGACGCUGUACCUAGACAGCUGUAAGAAGAUUCCAAAAGAAAGGAAGGUUAUUAUGUGUUAAGUUUUAUUUUCAGAAGUUCAGGAGAACUCUUAAUCGCAUUAAUCAUGUAUUCUCCUAUAAUAGAAUUGAUAAGAUUAAUUAUUAUUAAUAUUGCUUAUUUGACUGUAAACUUAGAUGAUUAUGUUUCUCACAGUGAAAUCUUAAAAGCCCACUGUGACAUUUACUCGCAUCAAAAUUAGCUUGUGAAUUAUAGCAUUCCCGGUGGAAAUAUGCAAAUAAAGUGUUUAUUUGUCUCGCUGUUGAAGAUUUGACAGAAGGUUUCUAUCAUAUGUAACCACAGCUUUGCAGCUGCAGGAAGUAUGAUAACCCUAACCCUAACCCUAUAACCAUAUAUUUAAUUGUUAACCUUCAAAGAUGAGGAAAAAACAUGAGUAGCACUCUGAAUGUGACAAGAAAUGUUUGGAGGAUGAAAUUUGAUGUUGGAUGUUGAAAAAGCCCAAGGUGGCCAGAAUUGACAGCGAAAUACAACUUGCAAUAACAAUGUUACAAAGUGUAUAUAAGACCCAUGAAAUGUCAUUUGGGUGUGCAUUCACCUAGAGGCAAGCUUAGUGUGUUAUACUCAGUUAUUGGUAAUAGUGAGUGCAUCAUAAAACAAACGCAAGCUUACACUUGAUUACUUUUACUUAUUCUAAUACUGUUUGAUUAUUUGAAGGAGAUUUUAUUUGUCUUUUUUUUUUAC